GGCUGGAUAGCUCAGUUGGUAGAGCAGAGGACUGAAAAUCCUUGUGUCGCUGGUUCGAACCCGGCUCUAGCCACCA
rnacentral:tRNA from 1 species